rnacentral:rRNA from 1 species
AUUGAACGGUGGCGGCAGGGCUGCCACAUGCAAGUCGAGCGGGGCGGAGGACGGGCGAGUAAUGCCUAGCAACCUGCCUGAUAGUGGGGGAUAACGUCCGGAAACGGGCGCUCAUACCGCCUCCUAUCAGCUGAGCCGCGGUCGGAUGAGACAGUCGGUGGGGUACAGGCCUACCACGGCGACGAUCCGUAACUGGUCUGAGAGGAGGAUCAGUCACACUGGAACUGAGACCCGGUCCAGACUCCUACGGGAGGCAGCAGUGGGGAAUAUUGGACAAUGGGCGAAAGCCUGAUCCAGCCAUGCCGCGUGUGUGAAGAAGGUCUUCGGAUGGUAAAGCACUUUAAGUUGGGAGGCGUUACCAACAGAAUAAGCACCGGCUAACUUCGUGCCAGCAGCCGCGGUAAUUC